GCUCAUAUGCUUGUCCUCAAAGAUUAAGCCAUGCAUGUCUAAGUAUAAGCAAUUAUACCCGCGAAAUCUGCCGAAUGGCCUCAUUAAUAUAAGUUAUCGUUUACUUGAUAGCACAUUACUACUUGGAUAACCGUGGUAAUUCUAGAGCUAAUACAUGCUAAAAAUCCCGACUUCGGAAGGGAUGUAUUUAUUAGAUUAAAAACCAAUGCCCUUUGGGCUUGCUGGUGAUUCAUAAUAACUUCUCGAAUCGCAUGGCCUUGCGCCGGCGAUGGUUCAUUCAAAUCUCUUCCCUAUCAACUUUCGAUGCGAAGGUCUUGUCUUCGCAUGGUUACAACGGGUAACGGAGGGUUAGGGCUCGACCCCGGAGAAGGAGCCUGAGAAACGGCUACUACAUCCAAGGAAGGCAGCAGGCGCGCAAAUUACCCAAUCCCGACACGGGGAGGUAGUGACAAUAAAUACUGAUACAGGGCUCUUUUGGGUCUUGUAAUUGGAAUGAGUACAAUUUAAAUCUCUUAACGAGGAACAAUUGGAGGGCAAGUCUGGUGCCAGCAGCCGCGGUAAUUCCAGCUCCAAUAGCGUAUAUUAAAGUUGUUGUGGUUAAAAAGCUCGUAGUUGAACCUUGGGCCUGGCUGGCCGGUCCCCCUCACCGGGUGCACUGAUCCAGCCGGGUCUUUCCCUCUAUGGAACCCCAUGGCCUUCACUGGUCGUGGUGGGGAAAUAGGACUUUUACUUUGAAAAAAUUAGAGUGCUCCAGGCAGGCCUAUGCUCGAAUACAUUAGCAUGGAAUAAUGGAAUAGGACGUGUGGUUCUAUUUUGUUGGUUUCUAGGACCGCCGUAAUGAUUAAUAGGGACAGUCGGGGGCAUCAGUAUUCAAUUGUCAGAGGUGAAAUUCUUGGAUCUAUUGAAGACUAACUACUGCGAAAGCAUUUGCCAAGGAUGUUUUCAUUGAUAAGGAACGAAAGUUAGGGGAUCGAAGACGACUCAGAUACCGUCGUAGUCUUAACUAUAAACUAUGCCGACUAGGGAUCGGACGAUGUUGUUUAUUGACUCGUUCGGCACCUUCCGAGAAAUCAAAAGUGCUUGGGCU
rnacentral:rRNA from 1 species